AUUGAACGCUGGCGGCAGGCCUAACACAUGCAAGUCGAACGGUAGCACAGAGAGCUUGCUCUCGGGUGACGAGUGGCGGACGGGUGAGUAAUGUCUGGGAAACUGCCUAAUGGAGGGGGAUAACUACUGGAAACGGUAGCUAAUACCGCAUAACGUCGCAAGACCAAAGAGGGGGACCUUCGGGCCUCUUGCCAUCAGAUGUGCCCAGAUGGGAUUAGCUAGUAGGUGGGGUAACGGCUCACCAAGGCGAUGAUCGAUAGCUGGUUUGAGAGGAUGAUCAGCCACACUGGGACUGAGACACGGCCCAGACUCCUACGGGAGGCAGCAGUGGGGAAUAUUGGACAAUGGGGGAAACCCUGAUCCAGCAAUGCCGCGUGUGUGAAGAAGGUCUUCGGAUUGUAAAGUAUUUUCAGCGGGGAGGAAGGCGAUAAGGUUAAUAACCUUGUCGAUUGACGUUACCCGCAGAAGAAGCACCGGCUAACUCCGUGC
rnacentral:rRNA from 1 species